rnacentral:rRNA from 1 species
UUACCCACUCCCGGCACGGGGAGGUAGUGACGAAAAAUAACGAUACGGGACUCAUCCGAGGCCCCGUAAUCGGAAUGAGUACACUCUAAACCCUUUAACGAGGAUCAAUUGGAGGGCAAGUCUGGUGCCAGCAGCCGCGGUAAUUCCAGCUCCAAUAGCGUAUAUUAAAGUUGUUGCGGUUAAAAAGCUCGUAGUCGAAUUUGUGUCUCGCGCCGCCGGUUCAUCGUCCGCGGUGUUAACUGGCGUGUCGCGAGACGUCCUGCCGGUGGGCCCCGUCGGCGUGUUUAACUCGCAAGGGUGGCGCGCACGUACGCGCGGCCCAACUCAAUCCUGCCGCGGUGCUCUUCAUUGAGUGUCGAGGUGGGCCGGCACGUUUACUUUGAACAAAUUAGAGUGCUUAAAGCAGGCUAAAACUUCGCCUGAAUACUGUGUGCAUGGAAUAAUGGAAUAGGACCUCGGUUCUAUUUUGUUGGUUUUCGGAACCCCGAGGUAAUGAUUAAUAGGAACGGAUGGGGGCAUUCGUAUUGCGACGUUAGAGGUGAAAUUCUUGGAUCGUCGCAAGACGGACAGAAGCGAAAGCAUUUGCCAAAAACGUUUUCAUUGAUCAAGAACGAAAGUUAGAGGUUCGAAGGCGAUCAGAUACCGCCCUAGUUCUAACCAUAAACGAUGCCAGCUAGCGAUCCGUCGACGUUCCUCCGAUGACUCGACGGGCAGCUUCCGGGAAACCAAAGCUUUUGGGUUCCGGGGGAAGUAUGGUUGCAAAGCUGAAACUUAAAGGAAUUGACGGAAGGGCACCACCAGGAGUGGAGCCUGCGGCUUAAUUUGACUCAACACGGGAAACCUCACCAGGCCCGGACACCGGAAGGAUUGACAGAUUGAGAGCUCUUUCUUGAUUCGGUGGGUGGUGGUGCAUGGCCGUUCUUAGUUGGUGGAGCGAUUUGUCUGGUUAAUUCCGAUAACGAACGAGACUCUAGCCUGCUAACUAGGCGUAUUUUGACAUCGCAAAGGCCCGCCGGCNNGGGG